rnacentral:lncRNA from 1 species
UUGAAAAACAAAGGCAGCACAAAAGUAAGAUUUUCCAUUUUAAAGGGUCAAUAUCUUCUUGCAGUUUCUUUCUUGUUUCUUCUCAAGAAAGUAGUACUCAUGCCACAGUUCUACCAAAACAUGGAACCUACGCCUCCAUUUUCUUGCUGGCAGAAUAUAGCACCCAAGCUAGCAGCUAGUAGUAAAUUUCUUAUAAUGGAGGUUUUAUGAUGGAGUCAUGGAGCCUUCUAUUGGAAACAUCAAUAUUAUCUCUUACAUGCAUUGCAGGGGC